GGGUUGUGAGGUUAAGCGACUAAGCGUACACGGUGGAUGCCCUGGCAGUCAGAGGCGAUGAAGGACGUGCUAAUCUGCGAUAAGCGUCGGUGAGGUGAUAUGAACCGUUAUAACCGGCGAUUUCCGAAUGGGGAAACCCAGUGUGUUUCGACACACUAUCAUUAACUGAAUCCAUAGGUUAAUGAGGCGAACCGGGGGAACUGAAACAUCUAAGUACCCCGAGGAAAAGAAAUCAACCGAGAUUCCCCCAGUAGCGGCGAGCGAACGGGGAGGAGCCCAGAGCCUGAAUCAGUGUGUGUGUUAGUGGAAGCGUCUGGAAAGGCGUGCGAUACAGGGUGACAGCCCCGUACACAAAAAUGCACAUAUUGUGAGCUCGAUGAGUAGGGCGGGACACGUGGUAUCCUGUCUGAAUAUGGGGGGACCAUCCUCCAAGGCUAAAUACUCCUGACUGACCGAUAGUGAACCAGUACCGUGAGGGAAAGGCGAAAAGAACCCCGGCGAGGGGAGUGAAAAAGAACCUGAAACCGUGUACGUACAAGCAGUGGGAGCCUCUUUAUGGGGUGACUGCGUACCUUUUGUAUAAU
rnacentral:rRNA from 1 species